rnacentral:rRNA from 1 species
ACAUGCCACUAACGAAGCAGAGAUGCAUUAGGUGCCCGUAAGGGAAAGUGGACACAGGUGCUGCAUGGCUGUCGUCAGCUCGUGUCGUGAGAUGUUGGGUUAACGUCCGCAACGAGCGCAACCCUUGCCAUUAAUUGCCAUCAUUUAGUUGGGCACUUUAAUGGGACUGCCGGUGACAAACCGGAGGAAGGUGGGGAUGACGUCAAGUCCUCAUGGCCCUUAUGGCCAGGGCUUCACACGUAAUACAAUGGUCGGUACAGAGAGUUGCCAAGCCGCGAGGUGGAGCUAAUCUCAGAAAGCCGAUCGUAGUCCGGAUUGUUCUCUGCAACUCGAGAGCAUGAAGUCGGAAUCGCUAGUAAUCGCGGAUCAGCAUGUCGCGGUGAAUACGUUCCCGGGCCUUGUACACACCGCCCGUCACACCAUGGGAGUGGGUUUUACCAGAAGUAGUUAGUCUAACCGUAAGGGGGACGAUUACCACGGUAGUAUUCAUGACUGGGGUGAAGUCGUAACAAGGUAAGCGUAGUGCU